UGGGAUAGGGAUACAGGGAUGGGAAUACAAGGAUGGGGAUAUUGGGAUGGGGAUAUUAGGAUGGGGAUACAGGGAUGGGGAUACAGGGAUGGGGAUACAGGGACAAGGGCACUGGGAUGGAGGUACUGGGAUAGCAAAACAGGGGUAAGGACACCAAGAUGGGUAUUUUGGAAUGGGGGUACUCGGAUGGGGGUAUAACAAUGGGGGAACAGGGACAGGGUACAGGGAUGGGGAAACAGGAUAGGCGAUAUUGGAAUGGGGAUGCUGGGAUGAGGGAACUGGGAAGGGGGUACCAGGAUGGGGGAACUGGCGUGAGGGUAUUAAUAUGAGGGAACUGGGAUUAGGAGCUGCAGUGGGAGUAUUGGGAUGAUGGUAUUGGGAUGAGGAUACUGGGAUGGAGGUGCUGGGAUGAAGGAACUGGGAUGAGGGAGCUGGAAUGGGAGUACUGGGAUGAGAACACUGGAAUAGUGGUGUUGUGUUGGGGGGACCAGUGGGAGGUGAGUACCAGGAUGAAGGAGAACCAGGAUGGAGGAAGGUGAUGGGAUGGAAGCACACCAGGAUGGAGGAACACUGGGUCCCUCCAGUGGGACAGUGCCCUGGCAGGAUGGCCACAGCCCUGCCCCAGCCAGGGGUGCCACAAGGUUUGUUGCUUCCCUUUGCCCCUGAGCACACCCAAAUAAUCCAUCCAGGAUUUCCGAGGCGCUGUCUGCAGGUGGAUCUCUCCCAAGGUGAGCAGGCACAGGCUUGCUGAGCCAAGGCCAGGAGGGAUGGUGUCCUCUGAUGUCUUCUCUCCCACAGCCCACAGAGCCCCACCCUGUAAUCCCCAAACAAUGCCCACCAAUUCACUAAAGCCCGAGCACACUGUUUCAGAAGCCUCUAUUAAAUGCACCCAAAAAAAAAAAAAAAAAAGAGGAGAAACAACUUGAUUAAAGACUGCAGAUGAUGAGGAAUCCACCACAGCCCCAGGUCCCACACCCUUCAUUUCCUUCACUCUUAAAUGCUUGCAACUAAAUUUGUCCAUCUUUCAUGUCCUGCCAUGCAUACCUGUAUGUCUUGAUAAUUUCUUGUUCAAUUUAAAUUGCUGUUUCCUGGAGAGAACAAAUAGAAGAUUUAUUCAGUGUUUUUGCAGCAAAGUUAAUUCCCUUCUGAAA
rnacentral:lncRNA from 1 species